GGGGUGGGGAUAACCGCAGGAUCGUUACUUUGAGGAAAUAGAGUGUUCAAAGCAGGCGUAACUCGCCUCCGAAUACGUUAGCAUGGGAUAAUGGAAUACGACUUCGGUCUUGUUUCGUUGGUUUCGCUUGGCUGAAGUAAUGAUUGAUAGGGACAGUUGGGGGCAUUAGUAUUUAGUUGUCAGAGGUGAAAUUCUAGGAUUUACUAAAGACUGACCAAUGCGAAAGCAUUUGCCAAGGAUGUUUUCAUUAAUCAAGAACGAAAGUAGGGGGAUCGAAGACGAUCAGAUACCGUCGUAGUCUCUACCGUAAACUAUGCCGACCAGGGAUCCGGAGAGUUUGCAUGGAUGACUCCCCGGGCACCUUGUGAGAAAUCAUAAGUGUUUGGGUUUUGGGGGGAGUAUGGUCGCAAGGCUGAAACUUAAAGGAAUUGACGGAAGGGCACCACCAGGAGU
rnacentral:rRNA from 1 species